CCUCGGGUGGCUGCAGUGGGGAAUUUUGGACAAUGGGGGCAACCCUGAUCCAGCCAUGCCGCGUGCGGGAAGAAGGCCUUCGGGUUGUAAACCGCUUUUGUCGGGGAAGAAAUCCUCUGGGCUAAUACCUCGGGGGCAUGACGGUACCCGGAGAAUAAGCACCGGCUCACUACGUGCCAGCAGCCGCGGUAAUACGUAGGGUGCAAGCGUUAAUCGGAAUUACUCGCCGGAAGGCUUGCGCAGCCGGUCUGAAAUCCCCGGGCUCAACCUGGGAACUGCAUUUGUGACUGCAAGGCUGGAGUGCGGCAGAGGGGGAUGGAAUUCCGCGUGUAGCAGUGAAAUGCGUAGAUAUGCGGAGGAACACCGAUGGCGAAGGCAAUCCCCUGGGCCUGCACUGACGCUCAUGCACGAAAGCGUGGGGAGCAAACAGGAUUAGAUACCCGGGUAGUC
rnacentral:rRNA from 1 species